GACGAACGCUGGCGGCGUGCUUAACACAUGCAAGUCGAGCGGUAAGGCCCUUUCGGGGGUACACGAGCGGCGAACGGGUGAGUAACACGUGGGUGACCUGCCCUCAGCUCUGGGAUAAGCCUGGGAAACCGGGUCUAAUACCGGAUAUGACUCCAUGACGCAUGUUGUGGGGUGGAAAGCCUUGUGCGGCUGAGGAUGGGCCCGCGGCCUAUCAGCUUGUUGGUGGGGUGAUGGCCUACCAAGGCGACGACGGGUAGCCGGCCUGAGAGGGCGACCGGCCACACUGGGACUGAGACACGGCCCAGACUCCUACGGGAGGCAGCAGUGGGGAAUAUUGGACAAUGGGCGCAAGCCUGAUCCAGCCAUGCCGCGUGGGUGAAGAAGGCC
rnacentral:rRNA from 1 species